GACGAACGCUGGCGGCGUGCUUAACACAUGCAAGUCGAACGGAAAGGCCCUUCGGGGUACUCGAGUGGCGAACGGGUGAGUAACACGUGGGUGAUCUGCCCUGCACUUUGGGAUAAGCCUGGGAAACUGGGUCUAAUACCGAAUAGGACCACGCGCUUCAUGGUGUGUGGUGGAAAGCUUUUGCGGUGUGGGAUGGGCCCGCGGCCUAUCAGCUUGUUGGUGGGGUAAUGGCCUACCAAGGCGACGACGGGUAGCCGGCCUGAGAGCGUGACCGGCCACACUGGGACUGAGAUACGGCCCAGACUCCUACGGGAGGCAGCAGUGGGGAAUAUUGCACAAUGGGCGCAAGCCUGAUGCAGCGACGCCGCGUGAGGGAUGACGGCCUUCGGGUUGUAAACCUCUUUCAAUAGGGACGAAGCGCAAGUGACGGUACCUAUAGAAGAAGCACCGGCCAACUACGUG
rnacentral:rRNA from 1 species